UGGGAGCCACCUCCAGCUGAAUGCCCAGGG
rnacentral:piRNA from 1 species